rnacentral:rRNA from 1 species
ACACGGAGGGCGCAAGCGUUGCUCGGAAUCACUGGGCGUAAAGCGGGUGUAGGCGGUCUAGCAAGUCAGAUGUGAAGGCCCACGGCUCAACCGUGGAAGUGCAUCUGAAACUGCUAGACUUGAGUGCCGGAGAGGGAAGUGGAAUUCCUGGUGUAGGGGUGAAAUCCGUAGAUAUCAGGAGGAACACCGGUGGCGAAGGCGACUUCCUGGACGGCCACUGACGCUGAGACCCGAAAGCGUGGGGAGCAAACAGGAUUAGAAACCCUAGUAGUCC